UUUCGAGUUUUGUGCGUCGAACCAGUCAUUAACCAGUUGAACAAAGUUGGCUGUUGCAAGGCGUAUUUAUCGGGUGGCCGCAUCAACCCAGCUGAGAGAAUUUGAUAUGUCAACUAAUUUUUGAAUUCGCCGUACAAAAAUAUAAACUUCAAAAUAAAUAAUUUAUAAAUUGUGUUUGCUACUGUUAUGGUUUAUAAACUUAGGGCAUAUAAUGGCACGCGUUUAGUAACCUCAUUCACUAUCAGUUUAACCCAGGAAACUUAGGUCUAUUGUAUCGACCCCGAAAGAUUCAAAAAGCGCAGAAGAACACUGAUAAAAUUUACAUCAGUACAAUGCCAUACAUUAAAAUGAAGAAGGUUAGGAGCCAACAUGCAUGACAAAACGGCCAGGAGGUCUGGAAAAGCUCCCACCAAUAUGCAAGAUAUAUUAGUCAAGAAUAGUGAAAGGACUUGCAUGGAGAUAAUUUAGACAGGUAAAUAGAUUUUGUGUAACUGUAAUCCCGCACCUACUCUCGCAAUUUCGGGGCAGUCUCACAAUAGGUGCUCAACUGGCUAUGACUUCGCUUCAUCCCCAUAAAUCAAGCUUAAGUCCGCCAUGUGACCAGCGCAAGGUCAAAGUCCUGACAUUGCAAUGGCUUUCCAGGAUAUUCAGUAGUGAGGGCGACAGCUCCAUCACAUCUAGAAGAGGUUUCCUGAACAUACCAAGUUACCUAGUAAACCUAAACAGCCACACACCAUGAUAACAACGCCAUCCUUGUAGCCAAAAAACUUUAACUGUCCUUUUUAAAUAACCCGAAAAUUCGACAUAUAUCCAAGAGCCAAAAAGGGAUACAAAACCCCUCCUUGUGGUGAUUGAGCUGUAAUCACAAUCUUCCUAUUUGAUCCAUUUGUUAGCAUUCACUUGGUAGCUAUCUACGGCUACAAUAACCUUAUGAAAACUAUUUUAACCUGUUAUCUUCGUGGUUUUGUAUGUUGUUGUACACACAUUUUCAAGAGGUGGCGAUCCUUGUCAGGCUCCUGUCGAUCAACGAAAAUCAAAACUAGGAAGCAAAAUCAAUUAUAGUAGCAGCAUCUAUUUAAGAUAUCGGGAAUUCGACAAGAAAUAGGAUGAGCCUUUAUUUUUACAAUUUCACGACAUAUAUUGGGUUGCCCAAAAAGUAAUUGCGGAUUUUUCAUAUAGUCGACGUUGACAAAUUUUUUCACAUCUUGUGACUCUGUAAUUGCAUUCUUUCUUCUGUCAGUUAUCAGCUGUUACUUUUAGUUUGCUUUAGAAAAAAAGUGUAAAAAAGUGACAUGAAACAAGGUGAAGACCAUAUUUGAUUGCGCAAAUUGCAAAAGGAACGUGGAAAUGAAGCCUCAAACGGAGAACUUAAGUCAAGGACUCUAAAAUCUGGUCGAGUCAUUCCUGGUUGCAGAUAUGCUGUGCUCCGAUCCCCAUUAUAUGUUUGUUAUAGUUUGUCUUAAGUACAUCUCAAUAGUAUGGGUGACUAAUCUUACCAUUACGUUCGUAAUACCUCGAAAUGUCCGUCCAUCUGUUGAAAUCAAGAAGGCGUAAAGCAACGCUUGCAAAGUUGUGUACAGAUAUUUCGUCAAUAAAAAUUGCAUACACGCAUUGUUGGUAA